rnacentral:rRNA from 1 species
GACGUAGGAGGCAAGCGUUAUCCGGAUUUAUUGGGCGUAAAGGGCAAGUAGGCGGUUCUCAAAGUUGGGCGUGACAUCUCCUGGCUCAACCGGGAGGGUGCGUUCAAAACUAGAGGACUAGAGGGCAGGAGAGGGAAGUGGAAUUCCUGGUGUAGCGGUGGAAUGCGCAGAGAUCAGGAGGAAUACCGAAGGCGAAGGCAGUCUUCCAAGCCGUUAUUGACGCUCAACUGCGAAGGUGUGGGUAUCAAACAGGAUUAGAUACCCCGGUAGUCCCUGA